rnacentral:rRNA from 1 species
UACGAAGGGGGCUAGCGUUGUUCGGAAUUACUGGGCGUAAAGGGCGCGUAGGCGGCGUGUCAAGUCAGGCGUGAAAGCCCCGGGCUCAACCUGGGAACCGCGCUUGAGACUGGCAUGCUCGAGUUCGGGAGAGGAUGGUGGAAUUCCCGGUGUAGCGGUGAAAUGCGCAGAGAUCGGGAGGAACACCCGUAGCGAAGGCGGCACUCUGGGCCGGUACUGACGCUGAGGAGCGAAAGCGUGGGGAGCAAACAGG